rnacentral:rRNA from 1 species
AUUGAACGCUGGCGGCAGGCCUCACACAUGCAAGUCGAACGAGUGGCGGACGGGUGAGUCAUGUCUGGGAAACUGCCCGAUGGAGAGGGAUAACUACUGGAAACGGUCGCUAAUACCGCAUACCAUCGGAUGUGCCCAUAUGGGAUUAUCUAGUAGUUGGGGUAAUGGCUCACCUAGGCGACGAUCCCUAGCUGGUCUGAGAGGAUGACCAGCCACACUGGAACUGAGACACGGUCCAGACUCCUACGGGAGGCAGCAGUGGGGAAUAUUGCACAAGGGGAGAAAUCCUGAUGCAGCCAUGCCGCGUGUAUGAAGAAGGCCUUCGGGUUGUAAAGUACUUUCAGCGAGGAGGCGUUACUCGCAGAAGAAGCACCGGCUAAUUCCGUGCCAGCAGCCGCGGUAAUAC